UUUGGAAAAUGAUGCUAAAAGAUAUCGAAUUAUGUUAUCAUAGGCAUAUAUUAUGUGCUGUGCUGAACGAAAUUCUAUUUGCACGUCAGUCUGAUUCCAAA